rnacentral:rRNA from 1 species
CCUACGGGAGGCAGCAGUGGGGAAUAUUGCACAAUGGAGGGAACUCUGAUGCAGCGACGCCGCGUGAGUGAAGAAGUAAUUCGUUAUGUAAAGCUCUAUCAGCAGGGAAGAAAGAAGACGGUACCUGACUAAGAAGCCCCGGCUAACUACGUGCCAGCAGCCGCGGUAAUACGUAGGGGGCGAGCGUUAUCCGGAUUCACUGGGUGUAAAGGGAGCGUAGACGGCCGUGCAAGCCAGGAGUGAAAGCCCGGGGCCCAACCCCGGGACUGCUCUUGGAACUGUGCGGCUGGAGUGCGGGAGGGGCAGGCGGAAUUCCUGGUGUAGCGGUGAAAUGCGUAGAUAUCAGGAGGAACACCGGCGGCGAAGGCGGCCUGCUGGACCGCGACUGACGUUGAGGCUCGAAAGCGUGGGGAGCGAACAGGAUUAGAUACCCUUGUAGUC